rnacentral:rRNA from 1 species
AGUGAACGCUGGCGGUAGGCCUAAUACAUGCAAGUCGAGCGGAAGGACAGUAAGAGCUUGCUCUUAAGGGUGGCGACUGGCGGACGGGUGAGGCAUAGAUAGGAAUCUACUUUUACGUGGGGGAUAUCGGGGGGAAGCUUACGCUAAUACCUAAUAUGACCUACGGGAGAAAGCAGGGGUUAUUGGGACCUUGCGCGUUACAAUGAGCCGAUGUCGGAUUAGCUAGUUUGCGGGGUAAGGGCACACCAAGGCGACGAUCCGUAGCUGGUCUGAGAGGAUGAUCAGCCACACUGGAACUGAGACACGGUCCAGACUCCUACGGGAGGCAGCAGUAGGGAAUAUUGCACAAAGGGCGCAAGCCUGAUCCAGCCAUACCGCGUGAGUGAAGAAGGUCUUCGGGUUGUAAAGCCCUUUUGUUGGGAAAGAAAAGCAGCAGGUGAAUACCCCGCCGUUCUGACGGUACCCAAAGAAUAAGCACCGGCUAACUUCGUG